UUGCAGGUAACCCAAGAAAUUUUAAAUGAAUCCCUAACCAAUCACAGUUAGGCAUCAAUUUGAAAUUAAUUCCUAACCAAUCACAGUUAGGCAUCAAUUUCCUCCGCUCUACCCUCUUGUGGGAAAGACGAAGACCUCCCACCCGUUCCACUCCACUCCAGCAGCCAUUAUACUGUCUGCGCGGGCACUGGCCUGCACAACUUUCAACAUCUGGAUAUACCUGCUGUGGAAGGGCAGGCAUCAACAGUUGAGGAAAUGUCCUUGAUAAAUCUCUCAACUGCCUGGAGGAAAAGCAGAUACCGAUUAAUAGCUUGUCCAAUGAUGGAGAAAUACAUUUAAAGGACAAUGGGAAAAGGAUCAUGGAGAAGUUGAUGACAAAGGAGGUAAUGGCCAGUUUCAAUAUGAAGGGUGGGAAAGGAACAUCUUUACAAUGUUGUCACAGAGUGUCUAGAGGACUUCAAAGGAGACGGAGGCAAACAUUGGAGCGGCUGUCGCCGUAUGUUUAAAAUAUGCCCCAGACAGGCAGGGGCGGAGGUUGCAGGAAAAAAAAAUUGUACGAUUUUAGAAUAAGGAUAAUAAUGUUAAGUAUAAAUGGUUGAAAACCUUCUGUUAAAAUAAUGU